AUUGAACGCUGGCGGCAUGCCUUACACAUGCAAGUCGAGCGGCAGCGCGGGGGCAACCCUGGCGGCGAGCGGCGAACGGGUGAGUAAUACAUCGGAACGUGUCCAGUAGUGGGGGAUAACCAGUCGAAAGACUGGCUAAUACCGCAUACGAUCUACGGAUGAAAGCGGGGGACUCUUGGGCAACUAAGGGCCUCGCGCCAUUGGAGCGGCCGAUGUCGGAUUAGCUAGUUGGCGGGGUAAAAGCCCACCAAGGCGACGAGCCGUAGCUGGUCUGAGAGGACGAUCAGCCACACUGGAGCUGAGACACGGUCCAGACUCCUACGGGAGGCAGCAGUGGGGAAUUUUGGACAAUGGGGGCAACCCUGAUCCAGCCAUGCCGCGUGAGUGAAGAAGGCCUUCGGGUUGUAAAGCUCUUUCGGCGGGGACGAAAUGGUUCGUGACAACACCACGGACUGAUGACGGUACUCGCAUAAGAAGCACCGGCUAACUACGUGCCAGCCGCCGCCGUAACAC
rnacentral:rRNA from 1 species